rnacentral:rRNA from 1 species
GACGAACGCUGGCGGCGUGCUUAACACAUGCAAGUCGAACGGAAAGGCCCUGCUUUUGUGGGGUGCUCGAGUGGCGAACGGGUGAGUAACACGUGAGUAACCUGCCCUUGACUUUGGGAUAACUUCAGGAAACUGGGGCUAAUACCGGAUAGGAGCUCCUGCUGCAUGGUGGGGGUUGGAAAGUUUCGGCGGUUGGGGAUGGACUCGCGGCUUAUCAGCUUGUUGGUGGGGUAGUGGCUUACCAAGGCUUUGACGGGUAGCCGGCCUGAGGGGGUGACCGGCCACAUUGGGACUGAGAUACGGCCCAGACUCCUACGGGAGGCAGCAGUGGGGAAUAUUGCACAAUGGGCGGAAGCCUGAUGCAGUAACGCCGCGUGCGGGAUGACGGCCUUCGGGUUGUAAACCGCUUUCGCCUGUGACGAAGCGUGAGUGACGGUAAUGGGUAAAGAAGCACCGGCUAACUACGUG